rnacentral:rRNA from 1 species
CUACGUGCCAGCAGCCGCGGUAAUACGUAGGUGGCGAGCGUUGUCCGGAAUCAUUGGGCGUAAAGGGAGCGCAGGCGGGCAUAUAAGUCUUUCUUAAAAGUGCGGGGCUCAACCCCGUGAUGGGAAAGAAACUAUAUGUCUUGAGUACAGGAGAGGAAAGCGGAAUUCCCAGUGUAGCGGUGAAAUGCGUAGAUAUUGGGAGGAACACCAGUGGCGAAGGCGGCUUUCUGGACUGCAACUGACGCUGAGGCUCGAAAGCCAGGGGAGCGAACGGGAUUAGAUACCCCGGUAGUCCUGGCCGUAAACGAUGGAUACUAGGUGUGGGAGGUAUCGACCCCUACCGUGCCGGAGUUAACGCAAUAAGUAUCCCGCCUGGGGAGUACGGUCGCAAGACUGAAACUCAAAGGAAUUGACGGGGGCCCGCACAAGCGGAGGAACAUGUGGUUUAAUUCGAUGAUACGCGAGGAACCUUACCCGGGCUUGAAUUGCAGAGGAAGGAUUUAGAGAUA